CUGCUGCCUCCCGUAGGAGUCUGGUCCGUGUCUCAGUACCAGUGUGGGGGACCUUCCUCUCAGAACCCCUACGCAUCGUCGCCUCGGUGGGCCGUUACCCCGCCUACUGCCUAAUGCGCCGCAUGCCCAUCCCUGUCCGGCCGAAGCCUUUCCUGCCUCCGGGAUGCCCCGGUGGCAUGUACGCGGGUUUAGCCCGCCUUUCGGCGGGUUGUCCCCCUGACAGGGGCAGGUUGCAUACGUGUUACUCACCCGUGCGCCGGUCGCCGGCGGAGAAACG
rnacentral:rRNA from 1 species